UCCAGUCCGAGCUGAAGAAGCUUCUUGGAUGAGGAGCGAAAUGUCUUCAAAGAAAAAACAAGGAAGUCCAGUUGCUUCCUGAAAAAAGCACCUUUGGGACAAUCUCAUUCCUAGCAUUUUUAAGCGAGCAUGCAAGUUGUUGAGCAGGGUUGCCUCAGACCCUGGGAGGCCCGGUGCAGACCAAGCAUGAGAUGGAGAGGUGCUGCAAUGCAGUACAAAGCUUCAGCUGUCCCAGACUGGCCCUGCAGUGCAGCACUUUUGGUUAAGAUGACCAG